GUAGGGAAUAUUGGGCAAUGGUCGGAAGACUGACCCAGCCAUGCCGCGUGCAGGAAGACGGCCCUCUGGGUUGUAAACUGCUUUUAUCUGGGAAGAAAAAGGCCAUGCGUGGCAAAUUGCCGGUACCAGAUGAAUAAGCACCGGCUAACUCCGUGCCAGCAGCCGCGGUAAUACGGAGGGUGCGAGUGUUGUCCGGAUUUAUUGGGUUUAAAGGGUGCGUAGGCGGCUGAUUAAGUCAGCGGUGAAAGACUUCGGCUUAACCGGAGCAGUGCCGUUGAUACUUGUUGGCUUGAGUGUCGGAGGGGUACAUGGAAUUGAUGGUGUAGCGGUGAAAUGCAUAGAUACCAUCAGGAACACCGAUAGCGAAGGCAUUGUACUGGCCGACAACUGACGCUGAUGCACGAAAGUGUGGGGAUCGAACAGGAUUAGAAACCCCGGUAGUCC
rnacentral:rRNA from 1 species